UACGUAGGGGGCAAGCGUUGUCCGGAUUUAUUGGGCGUAAAGAGCGUGUAGGCGGCCAGGUAGGUCCGUUGUGAAAACUCGAGGCUCAACCUCGAGACGUCGGCGGAAACCCUCUGGCUAGAGUCCGGAAGAGGAGAGUGGAAUUCCUGGUGUAGCGGUGAAAUGCGCAGAUAUCGGGAGGAACACCGGUGGCGAAGGCGGUUCUCUGGGCCUUACCUGACGCUGAGGAGCGAAAGCGUGGGGAGCGAACAGG
rnacentral:rRNA from 1 species